GGAGCAGAAGCAUGCUGGGCUCAUAACCCAGAGGUUGGUGGUUCAAAACCAUCCUCCACUA
rnacentral:tRNA from 1 species